UUUUUUUUCCCCCCGCUUUGGUGAACUCGCAGUACUUGGGCUGAGCCCGAAAUCUCGCGAGAUGCUGCAGGCGUCAGUGCGGCUUCCCACUAGGCGCGUGGUACCCGAGGCCGGGCCGGAGCCGCAGGCCAGCCGCGAUUCCUUCGGGCGAUGCUGGGGGCUUUCCGGUCGGGGCCGCAGCCGCUUCCGGAGCCGCGGGCGAGGUGCGUUCCCCAGCCUGGUUUGCUCUGGGCUCUGACCCGCCGCCGCGAAUCUCCGCUCGUAACUCCGGGCCUGAACCUGGAGGAGGGAGGAUUUCCUCUGUGCAGCUUUCGAGCGGUAGACUCACCCUGCCAGGCAGACCUAGAUUGGCAUAACCAGAGAUCAGUUCCAGUUGUGAUGCAGUGGGUGUCUACACACUUCUGAUGACACCUUUAUUUUAAAAGCUGAUGUUCCAAGAUUUUUAGGGCAGUUUUUAGUGUCAUUAUGUUGCUGCUACAUAUUUGGAAGAUGGAACAAGCCCAGACAAAGGAGGAUUCUUUUUUACUCAUCUUAAAUCCAUUUUAUUUUCCUUCAUCUGAGCCCCUUAAAACUAAUGUGUUACUGGUGCAAGCGGUCUUCUCUGUCUUCUUUAUGGCCAGUAAAAUUCUCCAGAAGAGAUUUAUGGCAGCCUCACUCCCAGUAGUUUCUGCAUUUAGUGAGAUAAGCCACAGCAAUUGUCUGCUAUUUUAAAAGCACUGUGAUGCUUAAAUAUUCCAGCUGCUACAUCGGACAGGUGUCUGAUGAUCCUGAGAACAGUCAUCAAAAAGUAGAACUUGAGCCUGGAAUACAUUCUCUGGCAUAGCCAUAGUCAAUCACCAGUAUAAUUAAUGUAAAUGGACACUGGAUAGCUUUUUUGUGAAUUCUGAUGCAGCACAAAGAGACUUUAAUUGUUUCCAAAAAGAAAAUGUCUGAGAUUAAAAUCUAGAGUUUUAUGACUUAGAGGAAAUUUUAUAGCUUUACUCCAAAAAGGGUAAGGCACAAAAUAUUCUGUGCCAAAGGAUGCAUAUUUGGUAUUUUUCCUAUGAAUCCCUUAGUGUAAGUGGCAUGAUGAAAUUUUCUUGGUUUCAACACAGAUGAUGUGUUGAGGUAGUGUUGAGGCUGAGAGGUGGGUGGGAUGGGUCUUGGAGAAGGAAAAGAUUUGUUUUGCAAGGUUUGUGGAGAGCUGAUGCGGUAGUGAGGCUAAGACGAGGGGUAUUUACUUGCUACUUACAUUGAGUCCACUAACAUCUGCAGCACUUUGCUUGCAUUAUCCACGCAAUUAUCACGGGAAACCUAUAAAAUAAGUAUUCCUCUCCUCAUUUUACAAAUAGGGAAGCAGAUAAGAUUUAGAAAAUUUCCCAAACUCACACAAUUAUUAAAUGACAGAACUAGGACUCAAACCCAGGUUUUAUUAAUUUUAGAGACAUGUUUUUAACCACUUGGACACUGCCAACCAUGGAAUUGUUGGUAUGAAAAAAACGUACUCUUGAGUUAUAUUAUCCAUGGUCUUAAUAUCAGAGAAGUGCAGUUGAGUCGCUAUUAAAGAAUAUGGUAAAAUUAUAAAAUGGAUACUAUACAAAGGUAUAAAAAUAUUAUAAAUACUUAUGUUUGGGGUAAAAGGAUCAAAGUAGCCAUGCUCAGUGGAAGGGUAAGGAACUCUUAGCAGAGAUUGAUUAAUUGGGAGAUAAUUGAUUAAUUGGGAGUUGAUUGAUUAAUUGGGAUUUAUUAAUUUGGGAGUAGGUAGGAAGAUAGGAAGUUGUAUAAAAUAAGGGAGAGAUAACUUAGUACCUGGAAAAAAAGAAAUGGAAAUAGGUAGAAGCUAAGAGUUCAAUUAAAAAAAAGGAAUAAAAGAUAUUGGAAGGGAACGAUGAAUGUAGCAUGGAAGAUCCAAGAUGAUGGGAGUUCAGGGGCUAAUUACAGCUAUGGGGAAAAAGUAAUGUAUAAGCUGGAAGCCAGAGAUAAGAGCCAUGUAAAUGAAGAAGUUGGGCCCCAAUAGGAAAGAAUUAUAAGGACUAGAAGGAGCAGGAGCCAUGUGGAAAAAUAUCAUGUAGUACUUUUAAGCUUGAUCUGUCAUCUGUAGCAAAACCAGCAUGCUUGAGUACUGAAUUGACCUGACUGAACUAUGUUGAAAUGUACUGUGGUUUUAUAUCCAUAUGCACUUGGUCUGUGGAGUUGUGGGAAAAGCAUCAGUGAGUAGGAAGCCCAAGGAUUUGGGUCAAGUAUUAAAUAUGCUAUUUACUGUCUAGCUAUGUGACCUUAUAUAAGUCACUUGUGGUCUCUGAGCCUUCAUGUAUUCAUCCAUAAGAUGAGUUGUUGUUUAUAUUAAAUGGGAUGUGGUAUGUUAAAGAGCUGAAUGCAUAGUGAUACAGAAUUACUUUCUGUAAUACUAUUUUUUAAAUAUUUUAAAUGAAAAAUUAAUGAACUUAUAAAUUAAAAGAUUCAAAAGGGAUAAAAAGGUAUACAAUGAAAAGCAAUUCUCCUUCCCACCAGUAACUCUGUCCUACUCCUUAGGACAUUCACCAUAAACAGAUAUCCUGAAUUCUUCUAGAAAUAUUAUAUAUAAAAUCUUAUAUUUCUUAUGUUUCUUUUUUACUAUUUUAAAGGGGAUAAACUAAACUUUGCUUUUUUUCAUAUAAUAAUAUAUUCUGGAGAUCAUUUUCUAAAAGCACAUGUAAACAUACCUCAUUAUUAUAAAGGUUUGAAAAUAUCAAUUUAUUUGACCUGUCCCCUCUCGAUAGAUAAUUAGAUUGUAUCCAUCCCUUUGGUUAUUACCAACAGACACUAAUCACUUAUCAUGUACAUAUAGCCUGUUUUUUAGCAUUGUUAGACAAAGUAGGCAUAUUCCUUUCCAUCCAAGAACUCAUAACCUAGUAAUUGUAGUUGGCUGAUAGCUCAUUGCCCAUACACAAGGAUCUAACACAACCUCUUGAAUAAACAUCCCCCUUAUUCAGAAAUGCCUUUUCCUAUUUCCAUAUUGCAACUUUGCUUACAAAUUUCCAAUCUGUCUUUCUGUUUACAGAAGAUAUACAAAAUUCCUUUUGUAUGAUCUCUUUAUAUCUCUUGAUUUUCUUUUGUGUUUGCUACCAAAGGGCCUGCACAUAGUGAGAAGAUUGUGCAUGAUCUGUGAGCUCUACCACACCUGGAAUUAGGGAUCACCAAUAUGAGAAAAAAAAUUGGAGGUACAAAUAACAUUAUCAUAUGUAAUUGGCAUAUAAAUUACAGAUGUAUCUAUGACUAAAAACCCUGUGGAUAUAAACCAAAUGCAGAUAAAUAUAAUAAAAUAUAUAAAAAUAUAAUCAAAUAAUGAUAGUGCUAUUCAAAUACUUCAAAUUUGCACAGUGAUUUAUUUCUUAAAAUAUGUUAACACAUGUGAGCCAAUACACUGAGGUCACUGGAUAAAUAAACAGAUUCUUGCAAGUGCUUUGGAAAUGAAACUUUUUUUUAUCAUUUUAAUUUU
rnacentral:lncRNA from 1 species